CAUGCGUGCUACUGCGCAAGGCUUUUACGUGGGCUCUGGGGAUUUAAACUCCGGGCCUCGGCGCACUGACCCAUCUCCUGCGUUUCUGCUUUUGACACGCCAGCUACACUGCUCCAGGAUUCCCGUGAGCUCUCCUCACCACCGCAGCCCCCAAGGUCACUCAGUCACAGAUUUUCAUUACUUGCUGAAAAAAACAAUGUGCGCUGUACAUCACGCCUGCUCUGGACAAGCCCUUUUCCUCCUCAGCGGUACCACCGAGUCAACCUCACACAACCUUCCCCAGUCCUGACUAUCCAGCUACUGCAUACUGUAUAGAAAGAAGACUCAGUCAUUCUGUGGCCCUGAACAGUGACAACCACAGAAAUCUGUGUGUUAGUGCAGCCCUCGGAUCACCACACCACAGCCACAGGGAUGUAUAGUUAGAGGCAUCCUAGAACGGAAAACGCCACGGUCAGCCAGAGGGAAUUUCUGAACAGAGAAUAUACACGGCUGUAGAGAUCCUCACAGCCUACGACCCUGAUACUCACGGUUGUACCACGUGAUGCUAGGACUCCACUCACUCCAGGUGCCAAGCUGUGAUUGCAGGCAUGGGCCACUAAACCCAGCUCAAUUCUACUCCUAUCUAUGCACUUACGACGGGUCGCCAUGAACAACACACAAUAGCAAAUGU
ensembl:antisense Gm44876 predicted gene 44876